rnacentral:rRNA from 1 species
CGGGUGAGUAACGCGUGAGCAACCUGCCUAUGACAGUGGGAUAGCCUCGGGAAACCGGGAUUAAUACCGCAUAAAAUCGUAGAAACACAUGUUUUAACGGUCAAAGAUUUAUCGGUCAUAGAUGGGCUCGCGUCUGAUUAGCUAGUUGGUGAGAUAACAGCCCACCAAGGCGACGAUCAGUAGCCGGUCUGAGAGGAUGAACGGCCACAUUGGAACUGAGACACGGUUCAA